AAAUGUGCGUCCAAGCAGUGAGUGUGAGAAGUAGGCAAAUCCGCUUCUCGCGAAGCAUGAGCUGUGAUGGGGAAGGAAAUUAAGUACGGAAGUUCCUGAUUUCACGCUGUCAAGAAAAGCCUCUAGGAAGAGUAGUACUGCCCGUACCGCAAACCGACACAGGUAGAUGAGGAGAGAAUCCUAAGGUGAGCGAGAGAACUCUCGUUAAGGAACUCGGCAAAAUGACCCCGUAACUUCGGGAGAAGGGGUGCUCUAUUAGGGUGCAAGCCCGAGAGAGCCGCAGUGAAUAGGCCCAGGCGACUGUUUAGCAAAAACACAGGUCUCUGCAAAACCGUAAGGUGACGUAUAGGGGCUGACGCCUGCCCGGUGCUGGAAGGUUAAGAGGAGUGCUUAGCUUCGGCGAAGGUACGAAUUGAAGCCCCAGUAAACGGCGGCCGUAACUAUAACGGUCCUAAGGUAGCGAAAUUCCUUGUCGGGUAAGUUCCGACCCGCACGAAAGGCGCAACGAUCUGGGCACUGUCUCAACGAGAGACUCGGUGAAAUUAUAGUACCUGUGAAGAUGCAGGUUACCCGCGACAGGACGGAAAGACCCCGUGGAGCUUUACUGCAACCUGAUAUGGAAUGUUUGUACCGCUUGUACAGGAUAGGUAGGAGCCGAAGAGACGUGUGCGCUAGCAUACGAGGAGGCAAUGGUGGGAUACUACCCUGGCUGUAUGACCAUUCUAACCCGCCACGCUUAGCGCGUGGGGAGACAGUGUCAGGUGGGCAGUUUGACUGGGGCGGUCGCCUCCUAAAGAGUAACGGAGGCGCCCAAAGGUUCCCUC
rnacentral:rRNA from 1 species